rnacentral:sRNA from 1 species
UCCAGAAUGGUGUGUGGACUUACUGGGA